CCUACGGGUGGCUGCAGUAGGGAAUCUUCGGCAAUGGGCGAAAGCCUGACCGAGCAACGCAGCGUGAAUGAAGAAGGCCUUCGGGGUGUAAAAUUCUGUUAUAAGGGAAGUAAGGUGAAAGGAGGAAAUGACUAUCAAUUGACGGAACCUUAUGAGAAAGCCACGGCUAACUACGUGACAGCAGCUGCGGUAAUACGUAGGAGGCAAGCGUUAUCCGGAAUUAUUGGGCGUAAAGGGAGCGCAGGUGGUUAAUUAAGUCUGAUGUGAAAGCCCACGGCUUAACCGUGGAGGGUCAUUUGAAACUGGUAGCCUUGAGUGCAGAAGAGGGAAGUGGAAUUCCAUGUGUAGCGGUGAAAUGCGUAGAGAUAUGGAGGAACACCAGUGGCGAAGGCGGCUUCCUGGUCUGCAACUGACACUGAGGCGCGAAAGCGUGGGGAGCAAACAGGAUUAGAUACCCCUGUAGUC
rnacentral:rRNA from 1 species